AUCGAACGCUGGCGGCAGGCCUAACACAUGCAAGUCGAGCGGUAGAGAGGAGCUUGCUUCUCUUGAGAGCGGCGGACGGGUGAGUAAUGCCUAGGAAUCUGCCUGGUAGUGGGGGAUAACGUUCGGAAACGGACGCUAAUACCGCAUACGUCCUACGGGAGAAAGUGGGGGAUCUUUGGACCUCACGCUAUCAGAUGAGCCUAGGUCGGAUUAGCUAGUUGGUGAGGUAAAGGCUCACCAAGGCGACGAUCCGUAACUGGUCUGAGAGGAUGAUCAGUCACACUGGAACUGAGACACGGUCCAGACUCCUACGGGAGGCAGCAGUGGGGAAUAUUGGACAAUGGGCGCAAGCCUGAUCCAGCCAUGCCGCGUGUGUGAAGAAGGUCUUCGGAUUGUAAAGCACUUUAAGUUGGGAGGAAGGUCAGUAGCUUAAUACGUUGCUGAUUUGACGUUACCGACAGAAUAAGCACCGGCUAACUCUGUGCCAGCAGCCGCAGUAAAAC
rnacentral:rRNA from 1 species